rnacentral:rRNA from 1 species
GACGAACGCUGGCGGCGUGCCUAACACAUGCAAGUCGAGCGAAUGAAGUUCCUUCAGGAACGGAUUUAGCGGCGGACGGGUGAGUAACACGUGGGCAACCUGCCUCAUAGAGGGGAAUAGCCUUCCGAAAGGGAGAUUAAUACCGCAUAAGAUUGUAGUACCGCAUGGUACAGCAAUUAAAGGAGCAAUCCGCUAUGAGUUGGGCCCGCGGCGCAUUAGCUAGUUGGUGAGGUAACGGCUCACCAAGGCGACGAUGCGUAGCCGACCUGAGAGGGUGAUCGGCCACAUGGGGACUGAGACACGGCCCAGACUCCUACGGGAGGCAGCAGUGGGGAAUAUUGCACAAUGGGGGAAACCCUGAUGCAGCAACGCCGCGUGAGUGAUGACGGCCUUCGGGUUGUAAAGCUCUGUCCUCAGGGACGAUAAUGACGGUACCUGAGGAGGAAGCCACGGCUAACUACGUGCCAGCCGCCGCAGUAAAAC